rnacentral:rRNA from 1 species
GGUGAAAAGCACCCCGGAAGGGGAGUGAAAUAGAACCUGAAACCGUGUGCUUACAAGUAGUCAGAGCCCGUUAAUGGGUGAUGGCGUGCCUUUUGUAGAAUGAACCGGCGAGUUACGAUUUGAUGCAAGGUUAAGCAGUAAAUGUGGAGCCGUAGCGAAAGCGAGUCUGAAUAGGGCGUUUAGUAUUUGGUCGUAGACCCGAAACCAGGUGAUCUACCCUUGGUCAGGUUGAAGUUCAGGUAACACUGAAUGGAGGACCGAACCGACUUACGUUGAAAAGUGAGCGGAUGAACUGAGGGUAGCGGAGAAAUUCCAAUCGAACCUGGAGAUAGCUGGUUCUCUCCGAAAUAGCUUUAGGGCUAGCCUCAAGUGAUGAUUAUUGGAGGUAGAGCACUGUUUGGACGAGGGGCCCCUCUCGGGUUACCGAAUUCAGACAAACUCCGAAUGCCAAUUAAUUUAACUUGGGAGUCAGAACAUGGGUGAUAAGGUCCGUGUUCGAAAGGGAAACAGCCCAGACCACCAGCUAAGGUCCCAAAAUAUAUGUUAAGUGGAAAAGGAUGUGGCGUUGCCCAGACAACUAGGAUGUUGGCUUAGAAGCAGCCAUCAUUUAAAGAGUGCGUAAUAGCUCACUAGUCGAGUGACACUGCGCCGAAAAUGUACCGGGGCUAAACAUAUUACCGAAGCUGUGGAUUGUCCUUUGGACAAUGGUAGGAGAGCGUUCUAAGGGCGUUGAAGCAUGAUCGUAAGGACAUGUGGAGCGCUUAGAAGUGAGAAUGCCGGUGUGAGUAGCGAAAGACGGGUGAGAAUCCCGUCCACCGAUUGACUAAGGUUUCCAGAGGAAGGCUCGUCCGCUCUGGGUUAGUCGGGUCCUAAGCUGAGGCCGACAGGCGUAGGCGAUGGAUAACAGGUUGAUAUUCCUGUACCACCUAUAAUCGUUUUAAUCGAUGGGGG